rnacentral:rRNA from 1 species
CGCGUAGGCGGUUGAGUAAGUCAAAUGUGAAAUCCCCGGGCUUAACCUGGGAACUGCAUUCGAUACUGCUUAACUAGAGUAUGGUAGAGGGAAGUGGAAUUCCGGGUGUAGCGGUGAAAUGCGUAGAUAUCCGGAGGAACACCAGUGGCGAAGGCGACUUCCUGGGCCAAUACUGACGCUGAGGUGCGAGAGCGUGGGGAGCAAACA